rnacentral:tRNA from 16 species
UGCGGCUGUAGCUCAGUUGGAUAGAGUACUUGGCUACGAACCAAGGGGUCGUGGGUUCGAAUCCUGCCAGCCGCGCCAC